AGAUUACAUGCACAUACAAUUUUUAUUACCUCCAAUGCUGUGGAUGGGCCCGGUGCUGUUUGUAUGCUAAUUCCGCUCUCCUGGGAGGGGUUGUGGACAAGGAGUGAGUCAAACUCAAGUGACUUCUUGUGAGCCAAUUCCCGAAUGAAUAAAGGAGCCAAUCACUGGGACAGAAACAGCAUCAUCCUGAGGAAGGGAGAACACUGACAAGCGUGUACUGUGCACUUAAGGAGA